rnacentral:lncRNA from 1 species
CGGGUGCCGUGUGCUCUCUCAGCCCUGUGAUGCUCCCCGUGCUCUGCGACAGCGUGGAGCCAAAGGAGGUUAUUGGGACGGGAGGAAGCAUUUGUUCGACCCAUUUGUUCUUAUGGGGCUGCGUGCUGCAGGGGGUGCCGGCACAAUGGGGUGAGCACCUCGUGGUUGGGGUCCUCCCGGGGCGCCCCUAUCCUUGCGUGCAGUGAGAGGGGCUCUGUGCAAAGCCUCCGGUGUGGGUCUGAGUGCAGACGUGGGGGUGGGAGGAGGAUGGGCAGCUCGGAAAGCAUUGCACGGCAGCAGAGCCACGGGAGCUGUGUUAAUUCAAAGCAGAACAGAGUCUGGGGUGCUCAGAACUCGUGGAGAAGUGGAUCUGUGGCUCAGUGAUGGGCUCUAACUCAGUUAGCUCUGAUGCUGGUGUGCGGACUUAACCUCAUUUUAAAGCUCUUCCCAGCAGAUGCUCUGCUGUGCAGCAUGGGUGGUGCUCGCUCUGCUCCCCAGUUUGCCCAGCGCUGAGUGUGGGAUGUGGCACAGUGUCCUGGGGGUGAAAUGAGCACUGAGGUCAUGAAGACAGCUGCACACCCGAGAUCCCUACAAGAGGAUUUGCUUUGUCUCCAUUGUAAUGCCCUUAUGGCAUCCAUGGAGCUGCGGGAGCUGACUUUGGGGCAGAGAGCUGAGCCUCCUCCUUAGCAGUGAACCCACACCUCUGCCCAUGCACAAAGCUGAGGCAGCCACAGUUUUGGAUGGGAUCGCUCCGUUGCAAAGGGGAAGCGCUGCUCUGAGCUCUGCCUUAAUGCCUCUCUGUGCCAUUCCAGUGUGAGUUCAGCUCUGCUGCUCCCCAUGUCUGCAAUGUCUGCAGGGUCUUCCGUGCAUGCCGUGCUCCAAGCAUCAGAGUCACUGGGCAACGCCGUGCAGCAGCAGGGCGGGCUCUGCAAAGGGAAUUGCAUCUGAACAGCGUUGCAUCUGAAUAGCGCUGCACCUGCAGAGUGUUGCAUCUGAACAGCAUUGCAUCUGAACAGCACGGUACCUGCACAGUAUUGCAUCUGCACAGUGUUACAUCCAAACAGCGUUGCACCUGAGCAACACAGUGCCUGCACAGUGUUUGCAUCUGAACAGCACAGUAUCUGCACAGCGUUGCAUCUGAAUAGCAUUGCACCUGCACAGUGUUGCAUCUGAACAGCAUUGCACCUGCUCAGCAUUGCAUCUGAACAACACAGUACCUACACAGCGUUGCAUCUGAACAGAACAGCACCUGCAUAUCAUUGCAUCUGAACAGCAUUGCGACUGCGUGGCACUGCAUCUGAAUAGCACUGCGCCUGCACUGCUUUGCACCUGCACGGUGUUGCACCUGCACUGCUUUGCACCUGCACAGUAAUGGCAUUGCACUUGCACAGAAGGAGAGGGAGAGAAAGCAGCCCUGGGAUCGGGACCUGCUGCUCACAGGGCCCCGCAGGGCUGUGCCCUCACUGUUUGCCCACAUCCCACCGAAAUCCCACGGGAUCGAUGGGGGUCGGCCGGGUGCACCGCCCCGAGGCCAUGGGAUCGAUGAGGAGUGAAGGAAAUGCGGCCGAAGAUGCGCGGUUUUACAGCUUCCUCCCCAAGAACGGCCGUGCUUUAUGGACUGCUGGUAAUUGCCAAUUAAUUGCGCUGCAGCCGAGGGCAGGAAAGCAGCCCGCAUCCUCCAUACGGGGUGGGCAGGAUAUCAGAGUCCGAAGGUGUUACCACUCCUCCACUUAAUGAAGAAAAAUCACGAUGGAGGCGGCCGGAGGCAACGCAAUGGGAUUGCAGCGGGGAGGAGAGGACUGUGUUAACACCCAUUAAUAAUAAAUAACCGCCAUAAUGAGCUCUAAUUAAUUUGGUCACACGUUAGAGAUCGCUUCCUUCUUUUUUAAGCUUGUAGGUUUUUCUGUGCCGGAGCAUCCCUGCGCCCUGGCUGUUCCCAGCCCCUUCCAUUCAACGUGUGAUAGAUGGAUUGAUACGCAGCUUUAAUCAGUGUAAUAUAUAAAGCACUUAAUUUGCCUUAUUAAAAGUCUGCACUUUGG